rnacentral:rRNA from 1 species
UACGUAGGGUGCGAGCGUUGUCCGGAAUUAUUGGGCGUAAAGAGCUCGUAGGCGGUUUGUCGCGUCGGCCGUGAAAACUCCUGGCUUAACUGGGGGCUUGCGGUCGAUACGGGCAGACUUGAGUUCGGCAGGGGAGACUGGAAUUCCUGGUGUAGCGGUGAAAUGCGCAGAUAUCAGGAGGAACACCGGUGGCGAAGGCGGGUCUCUGGGCCGUUACUGACGCUGAGGAGCGAAAGCGUGGGGAGCGAACAGG